UUGCACAGCAUCUUGGCCAGUGUAGAGUCUCGGAGCAGCACGUCUUCGUUUGUUUAAUUCCCAAACGAUGCGGAUAAACAUAUGAUUUCAGUAACAGCUAGCAACCCAACCAGCCAGCAAAGAGCGAUCACUUUGUAGGUUCGUCGCCGACUCCGGAUGCUGUGUAGUUUGAAUGGAUGGCACAGGGACAGAAAUCUCUCGUAUGACGACAUAGUGACCAGUGCAAGGGAUGAUAUGAAUGACGAUUCUUUCUGUCGUUUUGAUGGUCCAGAGACACGACAAUUCAGUUGUUCAGAAGUCGCCUCCAAUACGAGUCACCUGAUGUAAUGGAGAGAUGACGGUAGCUACCUCAAUCGUAGUUGAUAUAAAUUUAAAAUCAUGAACUGUCGGAUGUUAUGUUUAAACCAGCACUGCAAUCAAACCGACACUUGUGUCUCUCCGAAGUUUAAGUCUGCUCUGUUGAUUUCUCAGUUUAAUAAGUAUCAACACAGCAUCACUGGAUGAGACUGUGUCAAAAUUAAGGCUUUGUUCACAAGAUAACGUCGACCGCACGUGCGUUCAUGAUAUACGCGGAUGCUCUCAGCAUCUGAUGCGUGGCUGCAAAUCCAACAAUGGCUCCAGAAAUUCUUGUCAGCAUUUAUUAAGGUUUUCCCUAGUGUUUAUUUUUCUGAAGAGAGACCGAUGGGAAAUGUUUGCUCCAUUAUUACUACUUCAUUAUCCAAUGAUUGCUUUUCUUUGCGGAGAACGGACGUCCAAUUAGAGUCAGAUGGGAAGUGGUUUACUCUAUACAUGAUUAGAAUGGUGUUGAAUUUGAAGUAUAUUGCUUUACGGCUGACUGAUGGGAUUGUCGC